AACAGUAAAUCCAAUACACAGCAUAGACACACUCUCAGGUAACAACUACGACAUGGCAAGGAAAUAAAGACAAUCAGGAAGUAUAUAUUCCCUAUUCUGGGUUGUGAUUGGUUACAGAGAGCUGUGAUGUCACAAUUGUGUGCACAUCAUCAAAAACUGCAACAAAGAUUGACAAUAUAAAAGGAGACUAUUGGAAGGUUUCAGUGUCAUAUAUGAUGUCAGAAUGAGG